rnacentral:tRNA from 1 species
AAUCUAGUAAUAAGAGAUCAAACCUCUUUAUUUACC